AACUUAGCAACGGAAAUCUAUGGA
rnacentral:siRNA from 1 species